CCUCCGCCUCCCAGCUUCAAGCGAUUCUCUCGCCUCAGCCUCCUGAGUAACUGGAACUAUAGGCAUGCGCCACCAUACCUGGCUAAGAAAUUAACUUUAAUAACAUUUUAAUUAAGCUAACAUAUUUAAAAUACUAUUUCAACAUACAAUCAAUAUUUUUAAUUUACUUUUUUAUUUUUUUGAGACACAGUCUCACCUUGUUGCCCAGGUUGCAGUGAGCUGAGAUCACACCACCGAGCUCCAGCAUGGGCGACAGAGCGAGACCGUGUCUCAAAAAAAAAAAAGCAGGAGUGGGACUGUCUGGUUCCGGCCCGAUCAUGGAAUUCUGGGGACACGGGGUGAA
rnacentral:sRNA from 1 species